rnacentral:ncRNA from 1 species
UGGGCAAAUUUUACGAAAGUAAAAGACGCAAAGCCACGGGCCUAAAGCAACUGCUAUGGCAGCCGGGUUGCCAA